AAAUAGUAUUUAGUCAGCCACCAAUUGUGCAAGUUCUCCCACUUAAUGAGAUGAGAGAGGCCUGUAAUUUUCAUCAUAGGUACACUUCAACUAUGACAGACAAAAUUAGAAAAAAAAAUCCAGAAAAUCACAUUGUAGGAUUUUUUAUUAAUUUAUUUGCAAAUGAUGGUGUAGGGUGCCAUUUGUGACUCAUGCGACAUGUGCCGAUGUCUCUUAAGAUAAAUAUCUUAUAAAUAUCUUAUAUUUAGUAGUGCACUAGGGUCCUGGUUAAAGUAGUGCACUAGGGUCCUGGUUAAAGUAGUGCACUAGGGUCCUGGUAGAAAGUAGUGCACUAGGGUCCUGGUUAAAGUAGUGCACUAGGGGCCUGGUAGAAAGUAGUGCACUAGGGUCCUGGUAGAAAGUAGUGCUCUAGGGUCCUGGUUAAAGUAGUGCUCUAGGCUCCUGGUAGAAAGUAGUGCACUAGGGUCCUGGUUAAAGUAGUGCUCUAGGGUCCUGGUAGAAAGUAGUGCACUAGGGUCCUGGUAGAAAGUAGUGCUCUAGGGUCCUGGUAGAAAGUAGUGCUCUAGGGUCCUGGUAGAAAGUAGUGCACUAGGGUCCUGGUAGAAAGUAGUGCACUAGGGUCCUGGUAGAAAGUAGUGCUCUAGGGUCCUGGUAGAAAGUAGUGCUCUAGGGUCCUGGUAGAAAGUAGUGCACUAGGGUCCUGGUAGAAAGUAGUGCACUAGGGUCCUGGUAGAAAGUAGUGCACUAGGGUCCUGGUAGAAAGUAGUGCACUAGGGUCCUGGUAGAAAGUAGUGCACUAGGAUCCUGGUAGAAAGUAGUGCUCUAGGGUCCUGGUAGAAAG